ensembl:misc_RNA Metazoa_SRP Metazoan signal recognition particle RNA
GCUGGGUGUGGUGGUGCACGCCUGUAAUCCUAGCUACUUAGGAGGCUGAGGCAGGAGAAUUGCUUGAACACGGGAGGCUGAGGUUGCAGUGAGCUGAGAUCGGGCCAUUACACCCCACCCUGGGUGACAGAGCAAGACUCUGUCUCAG